GUGGUUGCAAAUUUCGCCAGUUAGCCUAUCUUGUCGGGGCGGGCUUAGCGGCCCGAUAUGGCGAUAAAGAGUGUCGUGAAAUAGACGUUCGGACCCGGGGGCGGUACCCGGCGGCUCCACCAAAUCUCUCCGUUGUCGGGGGAAGCGAGGGGCCGAAACAGGAUCGACGUGCGUUCAAAGACGAAGACUUUUGCCCGGCCUGAAUGAGCCGUAAAACCGUUCAUAACUCUAAAUGCCAACGACAACGAGGCAUUCGCAAUCGCAGCGUAACCCGGUCCUAACGGACUAAGUUACACUGGCCGAAAGCGCGGUAGGGACUGCACCGGGCAACAGAAGCAGAAACC
rnacentral:tmRNA from 1 species